rnacentral:rRNA from 1 species
UGUAUAAUGGGUCAGCGACUUAUAUUCUGUAGCAAGGUUAACCGAAUAGGGGAGCCGAAGGGAAACCGAGUCUUAACUGGGCGUUAAGUUGCAGGGUAUAGACCCGAAACCCGGUGAUCUAGCCAUGGGCAGGUUGAAGGUUGGGUAACACUAACUGGAGGACCGAACCGACUAAUGUUGAAAAAUUAGCGGAUGACUUGUGGCUGGGGGUGAAAGGCCAAUCAAACCGGGAGAUAGCUGGUUCUCCCCGAAAGCUAUUUAGGUAGCGCCUCGUGAAUUCAUCUUCGGGGGUAGAGCACUGUUUCGGCUAGGGGGUCAUCCCGACUUACCAACCCGAUGCAAACUGCGAAUACCGAAGAAUGUUAUCACGGGAGACACACGGCGGGUGCUAACGUCCGUCGUGAAGAGGGAAACAACCCAGACCGCCAGCUAAGGUCCCAAAGUCAUGGUUAAGUGGGAAACGAUGUGGGAAGGCACAGACAGCCAGGAUGUUGGCUUAGAAGCAGCCAUCAUUUAAAGAAAGCGUAAUAGCUCACUGGUCGAGUCGGCCUGCGCGGAAGAUGUAACGGGGCUAAACCAUGCACCGAAGCUGCGGCAGCGACACUAUGUGUUGUUGGGUAGGGGAGCGU